GUAAUUAAUUGAGAUUUUAGUAAUACCGAACUCUUCAAAGCUUGUGGUAUGUUUGUUUGUACACUUCUUAAUACUCGUCAGUUCGCUGUAAUCAAAGCUAAUAAUUUUUUUUUUCAUUUUUAAAACACAAAAAAACGAAUUAGGGGCCAAGUGAAUUUUAUUUUUUGUUUGAACAGUAUCAGUGCAAUAUUGAAAUCGGGUCUAGUGAAUUUUAUUCUGCAAUAUCUACCAAUUGUAGUACAGUUGAAGUGAUGAAAACUUUUCUUAUCGUCAUGCUUAUUCUUAGCGUCUUCGUGGUUCUCAGUUGCAGUAUACGUCUUCCUAAAUGGUUUAGUCUUCCCGAAAGAAACACUAAAUGGUUUCCUGUCGACACUGACACUAGGCCGCCUCCUUGGUAUGAAGAAGAAAACUUUGAGACUAGUACACGAUGUGAUUGGCCUCCAUGGUUUGAUGAGACAACACCAUCUUGAAGAACUUUUCAGACUCCAAUCAAUACCUACUGGUCAGUUCACUGAGUGAUGAGUUGAAUCGAGUUGUUUAAAAAUCAUUGAAAUUUGUAUCCAGGCAUAGUCUGCGAUCAGUGUAAUAAGAUUCCAACUGCACGCUGUAAUCAACGUUAAGUAAUAAUAAAUUUCCGGAUUUUUGAUUUCCAUUAAAAAGAAAAAACGAAUAAGGUGAAUUUUUUUUUUGUUUGAACAGUAUAAGUGCAACAUUGAAAUCGGAUCUAGUGAAUUUUAUUCUGCAAUAUCUACUAAUUGUAGUACAUAGUUGAAGUGAUGAGAACUUUUCUUAUCAUUAUCCUUAUUUUUGGUGUUUUCGUGGUUCACAGUUGCGGUAUAAAUUUUGCUAAAUGGUUUCUUUUUCCCGAAAGAAGUACUAAAUAUUUUCCUCUUGCCGGUUUUGACACUGAGCGUCCUCCUUCGCAUGAAGAAGACACAAUUGAGUCUAUCACACGAGAUGACUGGCCUCCGUGGCUUUACGCGACAAGGAAAACAACAUCUUGAAAAACUGUUCGGACUCCAAUCAAGUAGAACUAAUGCGCAUCGAGUUUAUGACGUCAUAUUUGCCGAACCUCUGACUAACAGAAGCUGUAGUUGAUAGAUCAACUUUGUAUAUUGGUAAAAUUAUUCCAUAUACACUGUUCAAAUGAG